GACGAACGCUGGCGGCGUGCUUAACACAUGCAAGUCGAACGGAAAGGCCCUGCUUUUGUGGGGUGCUCGAGUGGCGAACGGGUGAGUAACACGUGAGUAACCUGCCCUUGACUUUGGGAUGACUUCAGGAAACUGGGGCUAAUACCGGAUAGGAGCUCCUGCUGCAUGGUGGGGGUUGGAAAGUUUAGGCGGUUGGGGAUGGACUCGCGGCUUAUCAGCUUGUUGGUGGGGUAGUGGCUUACCAAGGCUUUGACGGGUAGCAGGGCUGAGAGGGUGACCGGCCACAUUGGGAUUGAAAUACGGCACAGACUCGUACGGUAGGCAGCAGUGGGGAAUAUUGUACAAUGGGCUGAAGCAUGAUGCAGUAACGCCGCGUGGGGGAUGACGGCCUGCGGGUUGUAAACCGCAGCCGCCUUUCACGAAGCGUUAGUGACGGUAAUGGGUAAAGAAGCACCGGCUAACUCCGUG
rnacentral:rRNA from 1 species